UAUUGGGGCGUUAAAGCGCGAGUAGGCGGUUUCUUAAGUCUGAUGUGAAAGCCCCGGGCUCAACCUGGGAAGUGCAUUGGAAACUGGGAGACUUGAGUACGGGAGAGGGUAGUGGAAUUCCUAGUGUAGGAGUGAAAUCCGUAGAUAUUAGGAGGAACACCGGUGGCGAAGGCGGCUACCUGGACCGAUACUGACGCUGAGACGCGAAAGCGUGGGGAGC
rnacentral:rRNA from 1 species